rnacentral:rRNA from 1 species
AUUGAACGCUGGCGGCAUGCCUUACACAUGCAAGUCGAACGGCAGCGGGGGAGAAGCUUGCUUUUCCUGCCGGCGAGUGGCGAACGGGUGAGUAAUACAUCGGAACGUGCCCUGUAGUGGGGGAUAACUAGUCGAAAGAUUAGCUAAUACCGCAUACGACAUGAGGGUGAAAGUGGGGGACCGCAAGGCCGCAUGCUAUAGGAGCGGCCGAUGUCUGAUUAGCUAGUUGGUGGGGUAACGGCCUACCAAGGCGACGAUCAGUAGCUGGUCUGAGAGGACGAUCAGCCACACUGGGACUGGGACACGGCCCAGACUCCUACGGGAGGCAGCAGUGGGGAAUUUUGGACAAUGGGCGAAAGCCUGAUCCAGCAAUGCCGCGUGUGUGAAGAAGGCCUUCGGGUUGUAAAGCACUUUUGUCCGGAAAGAAAUGGCUCUGGUUAAUACCUGGGGUCGAUGACGGUACCGGAAGAAUAAGGACCGGCUAACUACGUGCCAGCCGCCGCCGUAACAC